rnacentral:lncRNA from 1 species
GGAUGGUUGGAUUGGAUGAUCUUGUAGUUCUUUUCCAACCUAGCUGAUUCUAUGAUUCUGUGGUCCAUUAUUCCUGUCAAACUGGGAGUAAAAAUUUCUGUUACGUUACACAGUCUUGAAAUCCUGAGUUCUGAUGUGGAUAAUUCAAACUCAUUGUAUAUUUGAAUAUGAAAUAAUUAUACGUUACAGAUGGAACCUCACCAUUUCUAUUGUAUUCAGUCUGUCUUGUGUUCUCCUUGGCUCUCAGACUGGCAUCACCCAAAGUCUUCCACUGAAGUGUGUUAUGACUUGAGGACUGUGUUGCUGUGAAUAGUCAAUUCUACUUUUGUUUUGUUUGCUUCUAGUGAUUAUUCAAAUAAUGCAACUGUUUUCAAUGGAAUUAAAUGAAAAGCUAAUGUAAAAUUCCCUGCUUGAUUUUUUUUGUUUAGUGGCUCAUGAAAUACAUCUUUACAAAACAUAUCAUGACAUGCCAAGAGGAGUGCAUGUAACCAUAGACUGCUCCAUCUACAAGCAAACUUGUCAUCUGGACCAUGUGCCACAUUUUAAUUCCAGAGUGGGAAAAAAAGCAUCUGACAUACAUUUCAGGAUAGUCCAGGAACAGUGGACAGUGAACUGUGUGGUCAUGUCUUCAUGUUCAGGUCACAGAGUUACAAGCUUCCCUUCCCUCAUCUACUCCUCAUAAUUUUUUUCUUCCCUCUAAUUCUUUCUUCUAUGUGAUACAAGCAUGAAACACUCAUAUGCAUGUGCAUGUUCUUCUUUCCUUUUCUGUUGAGUUAUUUCACUCUGCGUAAAAAUUACUUCUCUGCAUUUCCCCAUUUCUCUUUGUUUACUUACUGAUAACUCUACUGAUUCAAGUCAAAAGUAGAGACUCCUCUCCUCCUUUAAGGAAAACUAAAAGGAAGUCCCAGCUACUGGUCUACUCUACCACUAUCUUUUCCAGCACUGUGAGUGAUACCUAACAUUCAUCAUGUCUUGAAGUGUGUUGCUGUCUGUGCCACUCUUGUAUGCAGUCUGAGGGCUGCUGCUGUCAUUGUUUAGAGGAAGUGGAAGAAAUAAUGCUGAGGAGCUGCUGAUGGCGAAGUGCAGUUGUUUUUCAGCCCACAUGAAUGUGUUCACCAGGUUGAUAAUUUUUCUGCUGGUGGCCUUCAUCGCCUUUAUGUACAGCAGGUGAGUGCUUUUACUUCAUUAAGGGAAUUUAAUUCUAUCGGCUUUGACAAAUCUGAAUUAAUAUUUUUCCGUAACUUUGUUUUGAGUAUAGAGGGGCUUUCACAGGUAUUGAACUUCUUUCCUUUCUUCUUUUUUUUUUCUCCUGAGGAACAUCUCUGCCUGCCUGCUCAUUGAAUACAAAGGAAAGGUAGCGGAUGAGAAUUAUUUGUGUGGUGAAGCACAACAAAGCCAUUUUGAGUGUCCUGCUCUGCAAACUUGGAUGGUGAUUUGAUGUGACUAACUCCUUUCAGCCAUAGAAAAAGAGUGACAGCCUGAUUGUAAUUUUAUUCCACUGAACAGAGGUUUUGAGAAAAAUUGUCUGUGUCUUUUUGGAUGAGCUUGACAGGAUCCUUGCUUAGGCGGCUGGAUCCUGCCCUGGUUGUGAAGGUCAGCUACAGUCAAGACAUAUAAAUCACCUUUGUGUGAGCUGAGUAUCCAAGCUGUCCCAGGAUCAGUUCAACAUGGUCUAUGGAGCC